rnacentral:rRNA from 1 species
CCUACGGGAGGCAGCAGUGGGGAAUAUUGCACAAUGGGGGAAACCCUGAUGCAGCAACGCCGCGUGAAGGAAGACGGUUCCGGGUUGUAUACUUCUGUUCUUAGUGAAGAAUAAUGACGGUAGCUAAGGAGCAAGCCACGUCUAACUACGUGCCAGCAGCCGCGGUUAUACGUCGGUGGCCAGCGUUGUCCGGAAUUACUGGGUGUAAAGGGAGCGUAGGCGGGAUGCGAAGUCCGCUGUGAAAACUACGGGCUUAACUUGUAGACUGCAGUUGAAACUGGUUUUCUUGAGUGAAGUAGAGGUACGCGGAAUUCCGGGUGUAGCGGUGAAAUGCGUAGAUAUCCGGAGGAACACCGGUGGCGAAGGCGGCCAACUGGGCUUUAACUGACGCUGAGGCUCGAAAGUGUGGGGAGCGAACAGGAUUAGAUACCCCUGUAGUC